rnacentral:rRNA from 1 species
AAUGAACGCUGGCGGUGUGCCUAACACAUGCAAGUCGAACGACAACACAGUAAGAUUUUUCUCUUACGGGUAGCGGGGGACGGACGGGUAAGAAAUACAUCAGAAUCUACUUUUACUGGGGUGAUAACGGAGAAACACUGACACUACUACCUCAUAUGACCUACGGGUUAGAUCAGUAGAUCUUCAGGCUUUUCGCGAUUGUAUUAGCCGAUGCCGGAUUAGCUAGUUGGCUUGGUAAAGGCCCACCAAGGCAACGCUGCGUAGCGGGCCUGAGAGGAUGAUCGGCCACACUGGAACUGAGACACGGUCCAGACUCCUACGGGAGGCAGCAGUAGGGAAUCUUCGGCAAUGGGCGAAAGCCUGACGGAGCAACAUCGCGUGGGUGAUGAAGGUCUUCGGAUCGUAAAGCUCUGUUGUUGGGGAAGAACAGAAGUGUAUGUAACUAUGCACGUCUUGACGGUACCUAAACAGAAAGCCACGGCUAACUUCGUG